rnacentral:rRNA from 1 species
GAUGAACGCUAGCGGGAGGCCUAACACAUGCAAGCCGAGCGGUAUUGUUUCUUCGGAAAUGAGAGAGCGGCGUACGGGUGCGGAACACGUGUGCAACCUGCCUUUAUCUGGGGAUAGCCUUUCGAAAGGAAGAUUAAUACCCCAUACAUAUUGAUUGGCAUCAAUUAAUAUUGAAAGCUCCGGCGGAUAGAGAUGGGCACGCGCAAGAUUAGCUAGUUGGUGAGGUAACGGCUCACCAGGGCGAUGAUCUGUAGGGGGCCUGAGAGGGUGAUCCCCCACACUGGUACUGAGACACGGCACAGACUCCUACGGGAGGCAGCAGUGAGGAAUAUUGGUCAAUGGGUGCAAGCCUGAACCAGCCAUCCCGCGUGAAGGACGACUGCCCUAUGGGUUGUAAACUUCUUUUGUAUAGGGAUAAACCUACCCUCGUGAGGGUAGCUGAAGGUACUAUACGAAUAAGCACCGGCUAACUCCGUGCCAGCAGCCGCGGUAAAAC